AGUCACUGACAUUAGAUACCCCCGUAGUCCCAGCCGUAAACAAUGUGCGUUAGGUGUGUCGGUAACCACGUGUUACUGAUGCGCCGAAGAGAAAUCGUGAAACGCACCACCUGGGAAGUACGGUCGCAAGGCUGAAACUUAAAGGAAUUGGCGGGGAGCACCACAACAGGUGGAGCCUGCGGUUUAAUUGGAUUCAACGCCGGACAUCUCACCGGAUAAGACAGCUGAAUGAUUGUCAAUCUGAAGGUUUUACAUGACUAGCUG
rnacentral:rRNA from 1 species